UACGUAGGUGGCAAGCGUUGUCCGGAUUUACUGGGCGUAAAGAGCGCGCAGGCGGUCGUUCAAGUCGAGUGUGAAAGCCCCCGGCUCAACUGGGGAGGGUCAUUCGAUACUGAUCGACUCGAAGGCAGGAGAGGGAAGUGGAAUUCCCGGUGUAGUGGUGAAAUGCGUAGAUAUCAGGAGGAACACCAGUGGCGAAGGCGACUUCCUGGCCUGUUCUUGACGCUGAGGCGCGAAAGCUAGGGGAGCAAACGGG
rnacentral:rRNA from 1 species